UGGGAAUUUGGACAAUGGGCGCAAGCCUGAUCCAGCAAUGCCGCGUGCAGGAUGAAGGCCUUCGGGUUGUAAACUGCUUUUGUACGGAACGAAAAGCCUCUCUCUAAUACAGGGGGUGAUGACGGUACCGUAAGAAUAAGCACCGGCUAACUACGUGCCAGCAGCCGCGGUAAUACGUAGGGUGCAAGCGUUAAUCGGAAUUACUGGGCGUAAAGCGUGCGCAGGCGGUUUUGUAAGACAGUGGUGAAAUCCCGGGCUCAACCUGGGAACUGCCAUUGUGACUGCAAGGCUGGAGUGCGGCAGAGGGGGAUGGAAUUCCGCGUGUAGCAGUGAAAUGCGUAGAUAUGCGGAGGAACACCGAUGGCGAAGGCAAUCCCCUGGGCCUGCANUGACGCUCAUGCACGAAAGCGUGGGGAGCAAACAGGAUUAGAUACCCUGGUAGUCCACGCCCUAAAACGAUGUCAACUGGUUGUUGGGGAUUUAUUUCUUCAGUAACGAAGCUAACGCGU
rnacentral:rRNA from 1 species